ACCCAGGAGAUGAACAUAUGCCUGAGAAGAAGAACUAGUGUGGAACUGUCAGCCAGGUUUUUGAUGAGUGCUCAGACUGCUUCCUGAUCCGGCACCACAUUUACUAUAGUGGACAGAUGCUCUAGUCUCUGAGGAGGAGUUGCUAGCUGUUAGGAAAAACCUGGAAUGGGCUCCACUGCAUGAGAUUUUAGGUCUCCAGAGCAGCAAAGAGAGUGGGGAGUAGAACUCAUCAUCUUUAGGUCACUCAGCAUCGAUGGGUUGUUUGCAACCUUAGUAUACAGACAUGGAUGGUUGAACACAAACCUGUCAGGCUGAUAAAGAACUAGACAUCUACUAACGUCCUUGGAACCAUGUUCAGAUUGCUGCACAUCCUCCUGAAGAUGCCACAGAUGACAUGGUUCCUUGUGAUUGUUGUUCUCUUCUUGUUGUUGCUGUUUUCUUUUAACUUUUGAAGAGGAUACUUUAUUAGUCUUUUGCUAUGUUAGUCAUCUCCUGGCAUUAGAAACCAACAUCCCACUGUUUAAAUGUUUUACAUUUCCUACUCUUUUUGGAAAACACAAUGUAUGCGCAUCAUUUUUUCCUAUUGUUUCAAAGACAUAACACUAUGUAAUUCAACUUUACAAUUUUAAUCAUUUUGACCAAUAUUCACAUGAAUAUAAAUUUUAUGUGUAAUA
rnacentral:lncRNA from 1 species